rnacentral:rRNA from 1 species
UACAGAGGUCUCAAGCGUUGUUCGGAUUCAUUGGGCGUAAAGGGUGCGUAGGCGGCGCGGUAAGUCGGGUGUGAAAUCUUGGAGCUUAACUCCGAAACUGCAUUCGAUACUGCCGUGCUUGAGUACUGGAGAGGAGACUGGAAUUUACGGUGUAGCGGUGAAAUGCGUAGAUAUCGUAAGGAAGACCAGUGGCGAAGGCGGGUCUCUGGACAGUAACUGACGCUGAGGCACGAAGGCCAGGGGAGCAAACGGG